CCUGUUUGCUCCCCACGCUUUCGCACCUGAGCGUCAGUCUUCGUCCAGGGGGCCGCCUUCGCCACCGGUAUUCCUCCAGAUCUCUACGCAUUUCACCGCUACACCUGGAAUUCUACCCCCCUCUACGAGACUCAAGCUUGCCAGUAUCAGAUGCAGUUCCCAGGUUGAGCCCGGGGAUUUCACAUCUGACUUAACAAACCGCCUGCGUGCGCUUUACGCCCAGUAAUUCCGAUUAACGCUUGCACCCUCCGUAUUACCGCGGCUGCUGGCACGGAGUUAGCCGGUGCUUCUUCUGCGGGUAACGUCAAUGAGCAAAGGUAUUAACUUUACUCCCUUCCUCCCCGCUGAAAGUACUUUACAACCCGAAGGCCUUCUUCAUACACGCGGCAUGGCUGCAUCAGGCUUGCGCCCAUUGUGCAAUAUUCCCCACUGCUGCCUCCCGUAGGAGUCUGGACCGUGUCUCAGUUCCAGUGUGGCUGGUCAUCCUCUCAGACCAGCUAGGGAUCGUCGCCUAGGUGAGCCGUUACCCCACCUACUAGCUAAUCCCAUCUGGGCACAUCCGAUGGCAAGAGGCCCGAAGGUCCCCCUCUUUGGUCUUGCGACGUUAUGCGGUAUUAGCUACCGUU
rnacentral:rRNA from 1 species